UCUUCUUAAAUAUUUGAAAGUUGAAUCUCUCUCACUAAUCUCUAUUCCCCUAUUUAUUUUAAGAAUAAACAUAUUGAAUUAAUAAAACAUAAUUGCACCUUUCUUAAAGGUUAUACAAACAACUACUAAAGUUGAAAAAACUAAAGAGAGGUCAACUCAAUCUUUAUCAAAUUAAAUUAAAGUUUAUUAUAAAACACAAACAACUAGUUCAUUCAAAUGAUAACUUGUUUAGUACACAAGUAAGAUCUUACUUAAUACAUAGAAAUAAGAUCUUACAGAAUAUAGAGAUUAAAAACAUAGGAAUAACAUGAAAAGCUUUUAAAAUGACAUAGACAUUGAUUAACAAAGAUAUGAACUAGUUUCGGGUAUUUCUUAACCAUCCGUCAAGGUAAACUUGUUUGGAGUCAGGGGUGGAUUUUGCUUUCUCGACUCGGAUAUCUUUCAACCAUCCAUCAAGGUAAACCUGGUUGUUGUCAGAGGUGGAUUUUACUGUCUCGGCUCGGAUAUCUUUCAACCAUCCAUCAAGGUAAACUUGUUUUGGAUCAGAGGUGGAUUUUGUUUUCUCUGCUCGGGUAUCUUUCAACCACCCAUCAAGGUAUACUUGGUUGGAGUCAGGGGUAGAUUUUAUUCUCUCGUUUCGAUAAUCUUUCAACCAUCCAUCAAGGUAAACUUGGUUGGAGUCAGACAUGGUUUCUGUUUGCUUUGCUCGAGUAUUUUUCAACCAUCCAUCAAGGUAAACUUGGUUGGAGUCAGAGGUAGAUUUUUCUUUCUCAGCUCGGGUAUCUUUUAACCAUCCAUCAAGGUAAACUUGUUUGGAGUCAAGAUUUUUCUUUCUCAGCUCGGGUAUCUUUUAACCAUCCAUCAAGGUAAACUUGUUUGGAGUCAGAGGUGGAUUUUGUUUUCUCUGCUCGGGUAUCUUUCAACCAUCCAUCAAGGUAAACUUGAUUGGUGUUAGGCAUGGACUUUUCUUUCUCAACUCUGAUAUUUUUCAACCAUCCAUCAAGAUAAACUUGGUUGGAGUCACUUGUAGAUUUUGUUUUCUCAACUCGGGUAUCUUUCAACCAUUCAUCAAGGUAAACUUGGUUGGAUUCAGAGGUGGAUUUUGCAUUCUCUGCUCUGGUAUCUUUCAACCAUCCAUCAAGGUAAACUUGGUUGGAGUUAGGUGUUGACUUUUCUUUCUCAACUCUGCUAUCUUUCAACCAUCCAUCAAGAUAAACUUGGUUGGUGUCACCUGUAGAUUUUGCUUUCUCAGCUCGAUUAUCUUUCAACCAUCCAUCAAGGUAAACUUGGUUGGAUUCAGAGGUGUCUUUUGCUUUCUUUGCUCUGGAAUCUUUCAACCAUCCAUCAAGAUAAACUUGAUCGGAGUUCUGGGAGGAUUUGGUUUUCUCUGAUCGUGUAUCUUUCAACCAUCCAUCAAGAUAAACUUGGUUAGAGUUAGCAAUGUGUUUUCGACUCUUCAAUGGAUUUUUGAGCCAACCAUCAAGGUAAGGUUGAUCAGCUUGUAUUUCUUGUACAUUCUCUUGCUGAAGUUUGAUAUAUCGGGCAAAGCUUCCUUGUCCAUUCUAUAAUACAAUUGAAUAAAUGGAUAUUAGUGAGUUAUUUUUGGAUGGUAUAUAUGAUUACAAAAACAAAAUUAUGUGUUUUAUGAGACACAUUAUGUUACAUAAAUAAGACACAUUCAUUGUAUAUUUCAGAUGGAUAUAGAAUGCGAAAUAAAAAUCAAAGAAAAACAAUUUUUUAAAUUUCAUUGCCGCAUAGAAAAUAUUAUUUUGUCAAAUUAAAUAGAACAACUUGAUUAAGUGAAUGAUGAAAUCAAAUCAAAUAAAGAUGCAAAAUGAUAGAUUGUGAUAAAUAAAUGAUGAAAAAUAUAUGUGUAAAAGAUACAAGAAUGGAUGCAUAACUUACAAUCAAUAAGAGCAUGAUAAAAGGGAGGAGAGACAAAACAUCUUUGUUUGUCAUUUCUUUAAUGUUAUGAUUUUGUGGGAAAAUUGUUUUAAUGUAAAAAGAUGUAUUGAAAUGGAAGUGAAUUGUGCUAUUUAUAAGUGAAUGAAAAGAAAAACUACAUUAAGGACAUUGAGACUUUGGUUGGCAAGAUUAUUUUUUUAAAUAUUUAGUUUAAAUUAUUUUUUAAAUGUUUAGUUUAAUUGAUAAGUUUAUAUGUCUAAGAAAGAUCAAUUUACUAAGAUUUAUUAUUUACAAGAUCUAUUAGGUGUGUUGUUUUGAGUUAUAAAAAAUAUUAAAAAAAUUGUUUGUUUGAUAUAUUUUUUUAAUUAGAAGCUCCUAACUAAAUCCUCUUAGUUUAAAAUAAAUAAAUUUUAGAACUGCUACUGCAAUUAUUUUUAUUUUAAAAUUAAAAAUGAUUUUCUAAAAAUCCUUAAUAAAAACAUAUUAAAAUGACAAAGGUGAUUUUGUUAAAUGUUAAACAAACAUUUAUUUUGAUAAGUUAUUUCAAAUAACUUAAAAUUUCAUAAAUUUAUUUUAAUUUAUAAUUAAAGUGGUAAUUAUGAUAAUCUCGCCUCUUGAGUUCUAAUAUUUGAGCUAAUAGUAUAAAUAUGUUUUAGUUGAAUUAGAAUUUGCAUUAGUGAUAGUUUCAAUUUUACAAUUAAUUAGACUAAAAUAUUGAUGUUCGUCAUAUAUAUAUAUAUAUAUAUNUAUAUAUAUAUAUAUAUAUUAAAUAGUAAUUAUAUAUUAUAAAUUUUAAUUUUGGGAAAAAAAUAUUAUUUCAAUAUUUUAAAAUUUUAAUAAUUAUUGUUUUAUAAAAUUAAUUAUAAUGAGUAUAAUAUUUUAAUUUUAUUAUCAUCAAAUAUACCCUACAUCAAAAUUCACAAACUUUAAAUAUAAAUAUCGGGAUCCACUUAAUUGAAUUGGAAUUUAAACAUCAAAAUUUAGACAAAUGUUAAAUUUUGAAGCACUUGGUUUUUGAAUCAUGACUCUUCUACAACCAACUCCUAGGGACUUACUACAUAGCCAACAAUGAAUCCAAAAUAGUUUCACAAGAAACACUAAAAUACUGUGUUGGCCUUUGCAUGUUUAAGAUGUUCACAUGUAGCUGGGGUUUGCGUGCUUAUGAGCUUACCUAAUAGUAAGUUAAAAAAACAAUAUAUUAUUAUACUGACCAGUCUAAAGAGAAAUAGAUAAGUUACUGUAUUUGUUAUUAUAAUCAAAUAUUAUCUAAAAAAGAAAUAAAUUAUAAGGAAUAUGUUUUCAUUAUUUUUAUCUUUAUUUAAAGAAUAUAAAUAUUUUUUAAUUAAUGAUAAAUAAUUGAUUUUAAAUGUGAUUACGGUUUAUAUCUUUAUCUAAGAAAAUAAAUGAUAAAAUGUGAAUACUCAUAUCUAAAAUUAAAUAUUUAUCCAAUUAUGUAGGCCAGCCUCAUAUUUAUUGUAAAAAUUUUAACAAAGUUUAAAAUAAUGAAAAUUAGAAUAAUGGUAUUCCUACAUUAAAUCUUACAUCAAAUACUUACAUUAAAUAUUUUUUACCGUAUUUAAACGAUGAAUAAUAUUUUUAUUUUUAAUAAAAAAAUAUUUAUAUAAAAAUGUUUUUAUUUUUAAAAUUAUUUUUAUAAUAAAAAUAUAAAAUUUAUCACAAAAUAAUUUUAUUAUCGUAUUAACUAUAAAAAUAUAGGUUAUAAAUCACAUAUUUCACUUAUAAUUCAUUAACCAGUAAAAUACAUAAUAUUAAUCAAAUUAUGAUAUUAAAAUAUGAAAUAUAUAAUUUGCUUAAUUAUUAUAUUUUAUAUUUUAAUGUCACAAUUUAUUUAUAUUAUUUAUUUUAUUAAUUGAAUAUAAUAAUAAGUAAAAUAUAUGGUUAAUCAUCUAUAUUUUUAUGAUUAAUACAAUAAUAAAAUUGAUUAGUGACAAAUUUUAUAUUUAUAUUACAAAAAUAAUUAUAAAAAUAUAUCAAAAACGAGUUUAAGACAACGUAGGAAAAAGUGAAGUGACACUCAAAUAUUAUUUGCUCAUUAAGCAAUCAGUUAAAAUUAAAGUGAAUUAACGAAUUAAGCAUAAAGUUUCACACAAUCAAAAUUAGGGAACAAUAAAUCAAUCGAACAAAACAAAACUACUAAGUUUUGAGUGUAAAAUUUGGUGUAAUAUUAAAAAUUAAAAAAAAAUUGAGGUUUAUAAGAUGUAAAAUUAUUUAUUAAACUCUUUUAAUAAAUUUAAUAUUAUGAUAAUUUAUUAUGAUAAAUAAUAUUUAAAAUAAGAAAAGAUUGAGCUUUUAAAGGAUGAAAUUCUAGUCAUUAGAUUAAAGAAAACAUCACCAAAACCUUAUUUCACAGAUGAAAUCGACUACAUAUAUGAUAUAUCAAUUUUCACGCUAAUAUUCUAUCAAUCACCAUAUUUUAUAGCCAUUAGACUAUUUAAUCAAAAUUAUUCAUAAUAAAUUUCAUUUGAUAUUUACUUUUUAAUAGAUAAUAAAGUAGAUAUAUUUAAUCUUUAUUAAAAAAUUAUUAAACAUUAUUGGUAUUAAAUAUGAUUUUAUUAAUUUUAAUUUUGAUAUAAUUAAUGGAUAUAAGUAUUGGCUCAAGAUAUAUCAAAGCCUUUGCCAAAUUUUUAACAAAGAUUUUAAUAAUAAAAAUUAUGAGUGUAAUAUUUAAAAUAAAAAAUUGAGCUUUUUAAAAUGUAAAAUUAUUGAUUGAAUUAUCAUAAAUCAGUUAAGUGUGUAUUUAUGCAAGAUGGGACAUCCCAUUUGCAGGGGCACAAAUUCAACCCACAACAUCUCACUUUUUAUCUUGGAAAAUUCCAAUCAAUAAAUUACUUGAUCCAAAAAAAUCAUAGUAAAUCUUGUUUGAUAUUUAUUUUCAAUCAAAUAUAUGUAAUCCUUAAUGAAACCUUAAACAUUAUUGAUUUUAAAUAAGAUUUUAUUAACUUUAAUUUUAUACCAUUAAUAGAAGGACUAUAUUCUGGAACGAAUUAAUAUAUUUUCGUUAUUCUUAUUUUUAUUUAAAUAUUUAAAUAUUAUUUAAAUUAAUAAUAAAUAAUUGGUUUUAAAUGUGAUGAAGUUUAUAUCUUUAUCCGAAAAAAUAAACGAUAGUGAAUAUUUAUAUUAAAAAAUAACACAAUACACUUAAAUAUUUAAUCUCCUUAACCUAUCUAAAUAUCUAGGCCGGCAUAAGACAUAUUGAAGUUUAGUGUAAAAAAUUUAACAAAGCUUUUAAUUAUAAAAAUUAUGACUGUAACAUUUAAAAUAAAAAAAAUUGAACUUUAUUAUUAGAUGUCAAAAUAUUUAUUAAACACUCUUAAUAAGUAUUAAAUAUAAAUUUAUUAAAUUUAUUUUUGAUACAAUUAAUGAAUAUAAGUACGGGCUCAAGAGAUAUACACGCCUUUGAUAAAAAAUUUAACAAAGAUUUUAAUUAUAAAAAUUAUGAAUAUAACAUUUAAAAUAAAAAAGUUGAUCUUAAAAGAUGUAAAAUUCUUUAUAAAAUUAUUAUAAUAGUUUUUGAUUAAUUAAUAUGCACAGUCAAUAUCAUUUUUUUAUUAUUAUUAUUAUUAUUAUUAUUAUUAUUAUUAUUAUUAUUAUUAUUAUUAUGCGUCGGUGUACAACUCAUAAAAAAAGACGUCAAUCAUAAAUAUAUAUUGGUACAGUGUCGUCAAUUGGAUUGACGCAUCCUCGUAGGUGUUAUAUGCAGGGAUGAAGCUAGAGAUUUUGAACUGUAGGAGCAAUAUAUUAAUAUAUAAAUUUAUUUCUAUUUAUUUUUAAAUCAUAAAUAUAUAUUUAAUUUAUUUUUAAAUCAUAAAUAUAUAUUAUAUCUAUUUUUUAAGAAAUCUAUCUCUAAAACAAUUUUUAUUAAUUUUUUAAAAUUUUAAAAUUUUAAAAUUUUGUAAAUUUUAAAAUUUUAUUAUCAAGAAAAAUAUUUUUUUAUGUAUUUUUUAUGAGAUCAUAAUAUUAACAUAAAAUUCUAUAAAUCAAUUUUUUUAAAGAUCGAGGAAAAAAUUAUUUUAAAAUUAUAACAAGAAAAACAAUUCAAUAUAUUUCAUCUGACAUGUUUUAAUUUAAUUAUUGAAAAUAAAAAAUUCACUAUAUUUUUGGACAAUAUCCUAAAUAAAUAUUCAUAUACUUUAUUAUUUUCAUCUAAUUUUUAGUAAUAUCUUCAUAAUAAUAAUAUUAUUUAUAUAAAUUUAAAAUAAUAUAAAUUUAUAUAUAUAUAUAUAUAUAUAUAUUUAUAUAUAUUAUAUAUAUAUUAAUAUAUAUUAUAUAUUAUAUAUAUAUAUAUAUAUAUAUAUAUAAUAUAUAUAUAUAUAUAUAUAUAUAUAUAUUAUAUAUAUUAUUUAUAGUAGGGACCAUUUGUCUUAUGCUAUUUUAAUUUGUUAUUUCUUAAUUUCCCCGUCUAUUUCAGUGUUUGGAUUAAAAAAAGGGGGGGGUCGGGGGUUCCCUCUUGGGGGUGGGUUUAGUAUUUUAAUGUUUUUUUACUUAAUAUUUCUUUUGUGUUUUUCACAUUCUUCUAUGUCUUAGAUUGACGUCUUCUUUAUUUUGAAAGUGGGUUACUCUCAGAAAUAAUUGAAAAAGUAAAUUAUUUUAGAUAUCUAUUUGAAAAGUUAGAAAAUCUUAAAUAUUAUUCAUUUUAAAUAAUAUUUUAUUAAUAUAAUUUUUAAUACCAUUAAUAGAAGGACUAUAUUCUGGUAUCAACCGAAAGGAUUAUAUUAUUGGACUAUUUUAAAUUUCCUAUUAUAUUGUUGUCGUCUAUUAUCAAUUUAUUUUAUCAAUAAAUCACUAUUUGAAAUUUUAUUAGUAUUUAAGUCUUUAAAUUCAUCUACACCUUUGACUUCUACUAUUAAUUUUCAUUUUCAUUUUUUUAAUGUUUAUAUAACUGGUACAUUGUUAACUUGUUUAUUUAAUAAACAUUAAGCAAUAUUUUUAAAUUAACUUUUUAAUUUAUUUUUAUAAAUUUAUCUAAAGUUCCCUUUUAUAAUUUAAUUAAAAUUUCAACUCUCUUUUUUUAAUUUCUAAUUUUUUUUAUUCAAAUUUUUUUAAUUGACAUUACUCUAAAUAACAUAAUAAAACAAUUUCCACAAUAAACACAAACAAAAAAAAAAUUCAAAAAUAAGAUAAUUGAUUAAAUAUAAAUGAUUUAAAUUAAAAGUAAAUAAAAUAAAAUUGCAUAAAUAAAAUAUAAUUUUAUCCUUUUACAAUGCUAGAGAGGACAUACACUUUAUCAUAGAAGUAACGAUUAAUUAAUGGAGAUGAUGAAUUAACAUAUUUUAUACUCUCAUAUACACAUUUUAGGUUGGAAAUGAUUUGAUAUAAUCCUUUAUCUAACCUGUUUAAAUUUUAAUGGGUUGAAUUUGUCGUUCAACCCACAAUUUCAUUGUCAAAAUUGACAGAAACCGACUUGUUUAUUUAAGGGUUGUGUUCGCGAUGUUUUAAAUAAAAAUUAUUUUUUUAUAUAUUUUUUAAGAUAUAAAAAAUUUAACCCAAUUCAAAUUAGAUGAAACACAUCAUAUAAUGUCUAAUAAAGUUCAUCAACACGACAUAACACUCGAUAAUAGUAUUAAAUUCUAAUAGUAUCAAUGUUAAAUUAUUUUAAAACAAUUAUUUUAAUUAACUCUUUAAUCAUAACAUUUAUUUAUUAUAUUUUUAUAAUACAUUAUAAUAAAUAUAUUAUAAAUAUUCUUAUUUUUAAUUAGAAAUAUAUAAUGAUAAGUUAAUUAAAUAAUUAUGGUUUGUGAAAAACAAAAACAAAAUCAACGUCAAAGUUAUAUGCUUCAACAAUUUAUAUAAUGACUCAUUUUUAAAUAAAAUAGCUUUAAAAAUUAAAAGUUUGAAAAAUAAUAGUUGAUAUAUUAUAUAUUUUAUUUAUUUUUAUGUUGACAAUAUAAAACAUAGACAUUAAUUUUAUUCUUUAACCAUAAUUUUUAUAAUAUAUUAAAAUAAAAAGUAGUUAAAAUUAACUAAUAAAAUUAAUUAUAAAUAGUUUAAAUAAUUUAAUUAUUAUCAAAUAAAAAUAUAUAAAAUAUUUAUUUAGUAAAGAAUAUUAAAACGAAUAACAAAUUAUAUGAGAUGAUAUGACUUUUUUAUAAUCUUUUGUUUUCUUAAGUUAAAUUAUUUAGUAGAUAAAAAAAAAAAUUAAAAUUGAUAUAUUUCUCUCUCUUCUUUAAAUGAUAUUUUUUUUUCUAUUUCUUACCUUUUAAUAGUUGGAUUAAUCAAAUGGUUUAAAAUUGCACAUGAGAGAGGGCAUAAGAGAAAAAAUUGGAGAGGAUCCAAUUCCGAUAAAAAGAUGUGGUAAAUUUAUGAGUAGUUUAAUAAUUUAUACAUAUUUUUAGCCUUAUUAAUUGUCACUUCGUUGAAAAAGAAAAAGGAAAUAAUAAUAAUGAUAGUGAUAAUAAUUAAAUAAUAUUGAAUUUUUUGACAAAUAAUGUUAUUAAAUAUUAUUGAAUAUAAUAGAUGAAAGAGAAAAAAAAAUGAAGAUCUUUGUCUGGCUUACCUCCUCGUUGAAUAGGGUAUGCUAACUAUUAAUAUGCCAAAGCCUCUUUAAAAAAUUAAACAAAUCAAUUAUAGGAUCCGAUAACUAUUAAGGAAUUUCUUAUGUCAUCAUAUGAAAUGGAAAAACUAUACAAAAUUUAAAAUAUUCAUUCAAGUUUAAAGAUGCAUCUUCGAAUACACAUUUGUAUCACCUUAUGACGCACUAAAUGAGCGACACCCUAAAGUAAAAUAAAAUCUUAUUCCAAAGAUACAUCUCUGAGUAUUUUGAACAAAUAUAUUGAUAUUUAAGCAAGCGUCCUCAGCAUGACCAGAUACCUGUAUCAUACACUCAGUUGCUGUCGUAUCUUGUCCAGUAAGGGGCAAUUGCGCCAAAAGAGAUUCCGCAUGCAACUCCUCCCUAAAAUCACAAGCAUAAUCCUAAUGUGCCUUGUUCAUUUCAUGUCGGAUACAUAGGGCAUUCUAUAGAGGAUUAUUUGGUCCUCAAGGCCAUAAUGCAAGAGUUAAUUGACCAUAAGGUUUUGUCAUUCUUUGACGCAUGACCCAAUGUCAUAAACAACCCGUUGCCAGACCACUGUGGACAAAUAGUGAAUGCAGUUAGUGGCGAAGAUUGCUCAGAUUCAGUUGCUUCUUCAGAGGAGUAUCGAUGCUAGCAAUAUCAUAUUGAUUCAAUCAUGUAUCAUUUGUAAUCCUUUCUUGUUUUUUAAAUGUUGUUCAUUUGUAACUUGUCUGGUUUUUCAGAUGAUAAUAAUAAUGAAAUAAACGUGCAUGUUUUGCUUAAAUCCAUUCGUGUCCACUCAUAUUUUAUUUUAUCAGUAUCAAACUGUUUGUCGAACAAAAUCAAAAGAGAAUGAUGCAAUUAAAAAUACGCAAGAUCGCUGCCUGUAUGGUUUUGAAUAAGAUCGUGCUGAUGAUGUAAGGCAUUGUUCAAUCCCUAAACACCGGAGAUAUAAGGAAGAUAAUCCCUAGUCAACCCCUUUGGGUAUUGUAAUAGGAGUUUCUUUCUUGAACACAUAAAACCCUCAUGCUUAACCAGGGGCAGAGUAUUCUUCAGUUAGUUUAGACUUGCAUUCAAAUUUAAGAAGGACAAUAUCUCAUCCAGUGAUCAAUCAUAUCAUAUCCCUCUCAAGAGGAUGGAAUCAUAAAUCCAGGAUGGUUAUCCCUUACCCAUCAAAAAGAGUGAGAUAAUCACGACUCGUGCAACAAAUCGAGAAAGCUGUGUCACAAGGUUUUCUCUAGUACAAAAAUAAAAGAUGAAACAAAAUUAAAAGCCCGCUAAGUCAAAAGCUUGAAAACAAGAUUGACUUAGGCAAAAGUCAGGGUAUCCCGGUGGGAUGCAGACCCAAAGGAUCAGCCUAGGAAAAAAUAAGGGUAAACAAAACAAAAGAAUUAGAGGAUCAAUACCAAAAUUCGUAGCGAGAGCAAAUCCCUGUGACUAUAAACAAAAGCAGAAGGCGAGUGGCUAUCGCUCUAAAUUCUCGUGGAUUCCUUAAACCAUCAUUGUUGAUAUUCAAAAUCCUUUCUGAAAGACGAACGCUUAUUUUAAGCUAAUUGAAUAUAGAACUAGAUAACAUCACACAGAAUGGGUGGGUUAGAAUAGGUUUUGAGCCUUAUAUCCUUUCUUUCUGAAACCGUGAACUAGGCCAAGUUACAACCCUCAAAAGACCUAAUUGAAGUAGGGUUUAUUUCAAAAGCAUACUAUGGUAAGAUCGCGUUAAGCUGACUCCUUAAGAUUUUCUUGUCAUAUGUUUGAUACUGAUAUGGCAUUCUAAACAGUGAUUUGUUCACUAGAUGUCAUAAUCUUAGUGAACACACUUGAGUUUUCAAAACUUGCAUGAGCAUGACAUUACAAUUAUCAUUUUAAAAAUGAGCGUUUUACAUGCGAACAUGCAUUUGACACCAAGGAAGCUUACAAUGGGAAAGUUGAUCAAAUUCCUAAUAUCCCAUAGCUCAAAUCUCUUCAAGAGCCCGUCAAUCUAAGGCACCAUGCCAAGAUUUUGCAAAUCUCUCUGAAUCAGCUGUAUAAGGGAAAAGUUUAAUUCGAAGUUCAUAUUGGGGAAGGCCACCUCAAGAGCAUGAGAAGUCAAUCACUCCUAAGAUAAUUAACUAGGAGGAUAUAGUUUCAAGAUGCUGGGGCAAGCCAGUUUGAGAUACUCAGAUGACGAGAUCACUCUAAUUUGUAAUUGGAGAAAUUGGUGCAGAUAUCCAAUACAUUGGGGCAGAGGCAGGCUACGCAGGUACAAGCUCUCUCCAUGUUCUAGACAUAAUCCAGAGGUGUGACAACAAUUUUUCAGCUUGAAGUAGGUUCGAAGAAUCACGUCUGGAGGAUACCAUAUCCUAGCCAAAAAUUUCCACCUCCCUCUAUAUGAGCACCUGGAUUAACCAUUGCAUAAAUCAUUAUCAUGAAUAAAUCACGUCGCUUCACUCAUGCAUACCAUUCAUCUAUCAUAGCAUGAAGCCGUGUGUGAGAAUCAAAGGAAUUAAAGCCCAGUAUUUUAUUGGCAUCUCCAAAUUCCAAACUUGCCUGGUACCUUUUUAAACCAUCUAGUUUGACAAUUCUUCCAAAAUCCAAUUUGCUUGGCGUCUUUUAAGCCCAGUUUGCUUGGUAUCUUUUUUCGACCUUUAGGGUCGAUGAUCCUCUUUUCCAACAUUCAUGGUUGAGGAACCUUUUUUCAAUCUUCAGGAUUGAUAACCUUUUUCCAAUCUUUAGGGUUGACGAUCUUUGUUUCUAACCUUCAUGGUUGUUGAAUCUUUUUCCCACCAUUAGGGUGAUGAUAGACUUUGUUUCCGGCCUUUAAGGUUGAUGAUCCUCUUGCUUUCAACCUUUGCGGUUGUUGAAUCUUCUUCCAACCAUCAUGGUUGUUGAAUCUUUUUCCUACCUUUGUGGUUGUUGAAAAUUUUUCCAAACCUUCUUGGUUGAUGAACUUUUUCAAUCUAUGUGAUUGACAAACUUUUUUCCAAACUGUAAGGUUGAUGACCUUUCUUUUUUUCAAACCUCUGUGUUUGACUUUGUUUCCAGUUUUUGAACUGAUGAUUCAUUUGUGAAACCCCUUGUUUGCAAGAAUAUUUUGGAACUUUCAUGCGCUCUUUGAUUAGCAUACAUGGCCACAUGUUUCAAAAAUGAUAAAAAAAAAUACAAUUUAGCAUGCAUAUCAUGAUCGUCAUUUGCCAUUAAUAUCCCCACAGUACAUCAAAAUCACCAGCAAAUAAACCCGUAAAAAAUCAAGUUGAUAUCCCUAUAUCUCAUACAAUUGUCCUUCAAGGAAAAAAAUUCGGAUACUUCGAUAUUUAAUCCACGCAUACCUUAAAAAGCUGAAAAGCUCUCGCAAUUCGACCAUUCAGGUCUAAGCUGAUUAAAUAGGGGCAGAUGUCGUAUCCUAAAUUUGUCCUCCCUAUUUCAUCUUUCCACUCAAUUUAUCAACUUGAGAUUCAUCUGUACCACAUUCAUAUUUCAUUCAUAUGCAUCAUUCAUUAAUCAUACAUUCAAAGCUUGUGGCCUGCAAAUCUAAGGUUUGUUGAUGGGACAUGGCUCUUCAUAGGCUCAUCAUGUGAGGGGAAACCCUAAUUUCAUACUCUUUUAGACUUUGAUUCAAAAAGGUUACAAUCACGACAUUCAUUUAGUCAUUCAAACCCUUAUUCCUGACUUUGUUGUCUUUCGGUCUCACAAGCUUUCACCUGUGUAUCAUGAAGCCCUAAUCAGGGAAGAUUUGGUCCGGUUGCACCUUAUGGCUUGACUUUUCAUCUUGUGUGUGCUGGAAACCCUAAUUCAUUAGGGAGAGGUGUUUGACUAUCCUAUUAUGCAUGCCUACUGGUUUGGAAUUGCACAUGAUUCAGGUCUUGUUUCAAGCAUCCCUAUGCCCAUCACAUUUAACUUUGCAUAGGCCAUUAACUCAAGUCUUUUGGUAUGGGCAAAUGCAUAGACCCAUAUGCCCGAUUCACUUCAUUCAUAUGAUGCAGAUGAUCAAGGAUGAUUGGUCCAUUUAAGAUUUGGUUCCAUUGGUUCAUUCUUUGUUUCUUAAGCAAAAUCAUUAUUUCAUUUGAAUUAUGUCAUGUGAAAACCCUAAUUCAAAUUUCACAGUUGACUUCGAUUAACUAGUUUACCAAAGUCAACCAUCCCUUUUUGAGUCCAUUAAACUUUUUCAUUAAUCAUUCACACUUAAUCACAUUUUUCGAGCUAUUUGAUGCAUCCAAUUCAUUCAAUUUUCAAAUGUAAUUUUGACCAUUCCAAACAUUUUAACCAUUCAAGGUUAACAAUUUAAGUUCUAUAAACCAUCUUCUUUUACAAUAUAUUUCCACUCAUAAACUUUCCAUAAGCAUUCAAAAUUUUCCAUCAUAAAUAUCAUUCAAUACAAUAAACUUGUCCAUGGUUCGCGCAUUUAAUCCUUUCUUUCCAUCAUUUAUUUGCAUUGCAAUUCUAUUCAUCCAAAGUAUCAAACUUUUCAUAAUCACCAAGUUCCAUUCCAAUACAUUCAAGUUUUACCUACAACUUUCCUUUACAAUUAUUACAAACCAUUGUUUUACAUUGUUACACUAUGUAUCAACCAUAUCCUACAUAACCAUAUUAACCAUUCCAAAUGAUCAAGCAAGAUAGAAUUUCAUUCACUAACCAUACAAGAUAUCUCAAGCAUACAUUUCCAUUUCAAGCUACAUUAUAAUGCAUCAUAAUCCAACAAUAUCAUGAAGCAGCCCAUGGCCUCUUAUGCAUUCACUAGAAAUAUUUCCAUAGCACAAAUUGGCCAUGUCCCAAAAGAUAAUGCACAAAAAAAGCAUGAAAUAUCAUGAUUCUGUUAGGCUCUGUUUUGAAAUUAUUUACCUGAUGAACAACAGACAUAAAUGCCGAUCGAGGUUAUAUGGAAGCUUCAAAUACUGAAAAAGAAAACACACCCAUUGCAUUGAUGGCUACAGCUCUUCCUUUGAAACGCCAUUGAAGCUUCAAUUCGUGGAGCUUAAACCACUGCACCUCUUCGACCUCACGCGGAAAACGCAACAACAGCAUAUGCUUAGAAGAACAGAGGGAGAGGAAUAAGAUUGCAGCAACAUAACAGAAAGAGUGAAGGAACAAAAUUGAGACGAAGAAAAAGGGAAGAGAUCGGUCAAUACCUGUUCGCAGUUGAAGCAUCAAAUUUGGUAAGUCCUUUUGAUUUUCUUUUCUUUCUGUUUAAGUCCGCGAGCACAAUGUUGGAUGGAAUCACAUGUCGAUGAGGUUGAACACAAUCCAUGAACUCUAUUAUCUGUUAGAAUUAGAAUAUUAGGUUAUUAAGUGACAAUUAGAAAUUGUGAUUUAAUUAGAAUUCUAGUAUUGAUAGAUUUUGGAUUUUCAUUAGAAUUAAUUAGAAAUUUUAGAAUUUAACUAGGGUUUUAGAAUCUAUUUUAGACUAAUUAGAUUUUCACAUAAUUAUAUAUAAUUAUAAUUAAUUAGUUUUUGAUUAAAUGUUGAUUAUUAGAAACUAUUUUCCUAAUUAAUCCAUUUAUGCAUAUUGACUAUUUUACCCUUUAGAGGUUAUGUUUGUCAUUUUAGCCAUAAGGACAUGUUCCUUUAGGUUUAGAUCUUGACAUCAAUUUUUAAUCAAGUCUUGACCAAUUAUAUCAUGAUCCCUUAGGAUAGUUUGUAACAAAUUCUAACCAUUAGAUUAGGAUUUAAUCUAGUUUUCAAACUAAUUCAAACCUUCUGAUUCAAAUUGAUCAAAAGCAAUUUUGAUCAAUUAAAUCAUUUGAUAUUGUAUAAUCCCACAGUCUAAUUUGAGUGACACAAAUACUCUUGGUCACCUAAUGAGACUUUUUCGGUAAGUUGUGGAGCUCGAGGCCUCAAGUCAUAUUUUCAAUCAAGGCAUCAUCGGUCAGACCAAGCAGUGGAUAAUACAAGGUACAUCAAAGGUGGCAUCUUUGAGAGCUUGUCAAAUCAAAGUUAUGAUUGUGUGGCAUGAGCCUUGAGUAAUGAAGAAAGAAUGAGACUGAAGAAUUCCUACCCCCAUCAACACAAAGGGCAUCAUGUCAGCAACUUGUUAAUUUUGAUUCAAGUUGCAUGCCAUGAGCCUUAAGAAACAAAGAAUGAUGAGAGUGGGGAAUUCCUAUCCUUGUCUAGAAUAUUCUUGGGUACGGGACGAAUGACCCAGUUGCUCAAAGUAUUCGCCUUUUUCCAUAGACUUUGGUGCAAUUUAAAUCAUGCAAUUGACAAGCCUUCUUCUUCAAGCAAGCAUCAAUCAUUCAACACUUCAAUAGUGAAACACCAUUACCCCCUUUAGUAUUGGACUUUCCUCCUGGAUGUUCAUACAUUUCUUGGGAUUAUUACCUUGGGGUCACAUACCCAUCUCGCAAUCAAUUGCUUCAUGCAUUGCCUAUCAGUUCACACUAUGGCAUACUUCAUUGCUUGCCCUCAACGUACAGACCCUGACAUUCAGCCUAUGGAGUACAUACUCUGGCUUUGUUUCUUCCCCAUAAGGUACAGACCUUGGCAACUUCUUGCAGCCCAUAGAGUAUAGACUCUGGCUUUAUUCCUUGCCUACAACAUACCGAUCUUGGCAUCCUUGCCCUAAUGAGUUCAGACUCUGGCCAUCUGAUUUUGUCUAUACAGUACUGACUUUGACAUAUUAUUAUGCCUUAUAGUUAAGACUUUGGAAUUCAUUCAUCCAGCCCAUUGGGUUCAGACUUUGGCAUCGUACUAUUUUGCCCUUAUGGAGUUCAGACUCUGGCAUUCAAAUCAGUUCAUUUGCCUUAUAUAGUUCAGACUAUGGCAUGCUUAUACAUCUUGCCCAUGGAGUUCAGACUCUGGCAACCUUUAACAUUGUCUUGAAGUCAGACUUUAGAAUUAUAUCUCCUUUUCCCUUAUUGAGUUCAGACUCUGAGAAUCUGUUCCUUGCCUUUGUAUUAGUUCAGACUAUGGAAUUCAUCUAUCUUGCCUUGUGGAGUUCAGACUCUGGCUAUAUCUCAUUUGUCCUUAUGGUUGAUUACCAUCUUUGGUAAGUGUCAUACUCUCGCUUAUUAAGCAAUCACCUUGCCUCUGAGCAAUCCUAUCAAAUCUCCCUUUGCUUUCAGUUGUAGUAGGCUAAACUACGAUUGCUCUGAUUUUCUCAUUGCACGAUGAGAAUACAUAGGCACAAGGGUUCAAAUCCUCCGUGAGCAUACUUAUUUAUUACUCCUACCUUAGGGCAUUUCUCCAUCCAUCUCCAUGAUACAGUCAUAUACUACCUUUAUUCACUUCAUGUGAUAUACCCUAUUCUUUGAGCCAAAUACAUUAUACCUUUGUGCUCCAUCUUGUACCCCUUUGUGAACCAAGAGAUGUUUCUGUUGUGAAACCAAAAUUAAUUUCCUUUGUUUUCGGCUAUACCAUAUAGUGGCGAAUGUUCAGACAAUCCAUAUAUCGGUUUAUUCCAGUUUUACUCUUGGGUUCACGCUUUCACCCCUUGUUGGGGUUCAAAAUAUUAUCCUCUGGUUCAGGCCAUACCUUGAUCACAACUUCCUUUUCAUCUCCCACCACUAGUUCUUUGAACUACGAAGUUAUGAAUUCCUCAUUGCACUAUGAGUAUACAUAGGCAUGAGGGCCCUAAUCCUCACCGAGCACUCUAUCUAUUUCUUUUCAUUUUCCCCAUUCUUUUGCGAGUAAUCUUUAGAUACAACACUCAUUCGAGCGAGAACAAUCAAAACGGUUCCCAUGGAGUACCAUAGAUGUUAGGGAUGCUAAUACCUUCCCAUUGCAUAAUCAACUUCCUUACCCAACAUAUCUCUUUCCCCUGGGUUUUAUCGAUGUGUUCGGGUAUAUUUCCGCUAGCUGCAUCACCAACUCCAAAAUCUCAAAAAAGUGUUUUUAAAGGAACUCGCAUUAGCAAACCACCUCCUUCACCGUCUCUACCAAAAAUUUCAUUCAUUGACGAGAUGUUAUUUUUUUCAUAAAUACAUCGAACAAAUCGUCAAUGUUGAGGGUGACGGUAAUUGCGAUUUUCGAGCUAUUUCGAUUUUGCUGGGUAAAGGAGAAGAUGAUCACACACUUGUCUGCCAUCAACUUAUCCAUGGUUGAGGACCCAUAUAGAAUUAUACACACGACUUUACCGAAAGAAACAAAAUUUUGAUGCAAUUUAUGAGUCUUUUAUUCCUUGCAUUAGUGGUCCGAAACCAGAGGAAAAAUGAAUGUGCUUCCCUGAAAUGAGUCAUCUCAUAGCAAGUGCAUCUGAUAAAGUGUGUAUUGGUCUUACAAGAUACGAUUUUUUGGAAACUUUUUUUCCACUGCGCACCACCCAACCUCAAAAUCUAAAUGAUCGUAUUUUGUGUAUUAGAAUACCUUUAAAAUUACGACACUUUGUUCAAAUUUAUUUGAAACGGGAUGUCGUAUACCACUUACAUCAGUGGAGUGGACAACUCAUUCAACAAUAAAAUCCGGGACUUAGACGGGCCAAUUUAUGGAAAAGAUGCAAGAGUUUACCAAAUUGAGCGACAUUGAAAGUGAAUAUAAUGCACAAAAGUCAAAGGGGGAACCACUCAUACUUAUAAAUUUAGCCAUCGACAAAUAUUUCGAUUCGUUUUAGUUUUUCGUUAUCAAUUAAUUGUAUAUAAUUUUGUAUUAAUAGUAAGGGUUAAUAACAUUUUUAUAGAAACAUUCUAGUUGUACCUUGGGGGGAAUGACCCAUGAUUGAUGCUUACGUGUCAUGAUAAAUAUCAUGAUAUAUUUUAGUUUUUAGUUUUUUAAUUACAUAUAUGCUUACGUGGACUUACAGUUUUUUAUUUAUGAAUUAUUUCUAUUUUCAUGUGAAAAUUUAUUUUCUUUUUCAUUUAUUUUAAUCAUAACAAUUAUCAAAACUACUUUAAGAAAGUUCUAAAAUUUUGUCAACAAUGAAAUUCUCAUACGGAUUUGGCAAGGAACUUUGAAAGGAGAUUUGAAAGCGUGAACCACAACCAUAGAUAGGAAGAAGGAGAAUUAGGGUUCAACAUAGUUUGAACCGUGUUUAUGUUUAUGUUAGGGACCGAUUCGGGCUAGACCCAAUCUAGGUUCGGUUGAUCCACUAACCAUUAGUUUUUUUUUUAAAUUAUUUUGUGAGUAUACCAUUUGUUGUUUGGCCUUACCUAUUUGUGACUUGGGCAAACCCCACUUUAGGAGCCAUCUUGUCUUAUUUAUUUAUUUAUUUUUGUCUUUUCCUCAACCUUUUUUAUUGCAUUAAUAUUUUAGUAAAAGAAUAUAUAAAAAACAUAAACUUUUUCAUGAAAAAAAAGGUGGUUUACAAUUUUAUAAUAAUUGAUUUUUAUUGUUAUUUCAAUUUUUUUAUCAAUAAAUAAAUAAAAGUAGACAAAAUUUGUUUGAUGCGUGCCUUAGGGUUUCUUUUUCCUAUCAAGCUAUAUCUCAAAAGAAGAAUAUUUCUUUAAGAAUUAUUCCUUUUUUUAAAAAUAAAUUUGAUUCCAUUAUGGUUUGAUUUGUUUGAUCUUUAUUGAUUGUGUGAAUGCUUGUAUUGUUCAUACUUGAUCCAUGAUUUAUGUAACCUUUCACUUAGACCUUCGAUUGUUAGUAAGAUAAAAGUAAAUGUGCAAUAAAAUCAACCUUUUAAAAUAAGAUUCAAACACUCUAUCGAUAUGAAUUUGGUUUUAAAAAGAUCUCACUAUUUUCACCAUCCAUUCAAAGUUAAUUUCAAGUCAUCUCACAAAUUAUUUUCAUGCUAACACGAAUAAACCCUCGAUCAACAUCGAGUUUCUUUUUUGCUUAUUAAAAACUUGAAAAUCAUUUUCAUAAUAAAUCAGUUGAAAAAGGAAUGGGAGGCGCACACAUCUCUACUCCUCGAAUAAGUGAGUGAUUGGUAGACUCCAUAUUGCUCUAACUUUCAUCUUCCGAAUAAAAUAUCCUAAAUAAACAUGGAUGAAAAAGGAAGAGAGGCGCACACAUCUCUACUCCUCGAAUAAGCAAGUGGAAGACACACACCUCGCUACUGCGAAUAUUUUUUCUUCCGCAAAUAAUUUUCAAAAUAUUAAAAUCAAACAAAAAAGGAAUGGGAGGCGCACAACUUGUUGCUCCUCGAAUAAGUGAGUGAUUGGUGCGCGCCAUAUUGCUCGAGCUUUCAUCGUCUUCCUACAAAACACUAAACCAAUCAAACCUAUUUUCUCGCCCCCUUCGUUCAUCCCAAGACGAUGUAAACACGCUUCAUUUCUACCAUGCGCAAGAAGUUAUAACUCUUUUCGCUCGAAUGUGACGAGAACAAAUUUGUGAGAAUCUGGAUUAUGUUAUUCAUUCUAAUGUGAUGCCAAUGUUCACUUCUCCAUGUUUUUAGUAGCAAAUAAUGUUUUCGCUCGAAUGCGACUAAGUACCUUUCGUAAAAACUGAUCAACAAACAAAAAAUUUCUACCCAGAACUACGUAGCCUUGAGUUUUUCAUCGCACCUGAGAUAUGUAGAAGCGAGACCCGUAAUCUCGUCAGGCACAUUAAUAAAAGAAAACAUUUUGCGACCCAUUUUGUUUUCUCUUUACACUUUUGACCACUCGAAGAAAACAUAUGACAUAAGCUAAAAUUUCAACCACAAAUCUAACUAAAUGGUUCCCGUUGAGUGUAACAGAUGUGAGGGGUGUUAAUCCCUUCCCCUCGCAUAAUCGACUCCCAAACCUGAAUUUGAUUGUGACAAACAUUUUCUUUUUCUUUUAAGGAUUUUAUCAAUAUUUCCCCUCCUUUUUGGAAUAAAUCAAUUUUGAUGGUGACUCUGUUAUCUUGACCAUGCAAGCGCUCAUGGUCAUUUUUCGCGUCGCGACACUACUGUACAAUAGUUAUCUGUAUCAAAAACUAAAAUAUUUGUGUCUGUAUCUUGUUGUCUAGGAUUGUUGGAAACGAGAAGGAUGGAAAAAUAAAGUGUGUUUAUUUUUCUAUGUUGUAAAAUCACAAGGUGGUUUUUCUUGGUGAUUAAGUUAGAAUCUUGUGUAUAGAAUCUAGGUUUAGGCUUGUACAAAAUAAUAACAAUAUUGAAAUCUCUUAUAGUGUCUAAGGGGACUGACAUACUCUCAGAUUGUGAUGGGAACUAGUAUGAUUUUCGAUGUUAUUUACUUUAUGCACUUUACUGCUUUCACCACCUAACCAUAAACCAAAAAAUAAAGAAACAUUCAUCUCUAAAAACAAUGUACUUACAGCGAGAGCAUGAUAUUCCGCUUCAGUACAUGAACAAGACACAAAAUUUUGUUUCUUUAAGCGCUAUGAAAUCAAGGAGUUACCCCAUAACACAUAAAUGCUAGUGUAUAUUUCCUAGUAUCCAGACAACGUGCCCAGUCGAAGUCAGCAAAACCAUGCAGCUUUAAGGAAUUAUUGCUGGCAAAAAAAUGCCUCGAGUAGGAAAUGCCUUCAGAUACUUCAAAACUCGAGUGGCUUCCUAACGGUGAGGAACCAAGGGGUUAGCCACAUAUUGGCUAAGGUGACGGACAAUAAAAGAAAUACUUGGCCGUGUGUUUGUAAGGUAAAGUAGCCUGCUAAUUAAUUUACAAUAUGAAGAAGGGUCCUCUAAAGGAGUACCUUCACUAGAUGAGAGCUUCAUGUGAGGAUCAAUAGGUGUGGAGACAAGCUAAGCCCCAAGAAAACCAGUGUCCUCAAGCAGCUAGAGCAUGUAUGUUCUCUGGCUGAGAAAGAUACCAGAAGUAGAACGUGCAAUUUUGAGGCCCAAGAAGUACCUUAGUUGACUGAGAUCUUUAAUGCAAAAUUGUUGAUGCAGGAAAGACUUUACUUGUUUAUUCCACAAUCGAGUCGCUUGUCAAGACAAUAUCAUCAAUGCACACUGAUAAGGAAGUGAAACCAUGAGGUGUGAUCUUGGUGUAUAAUGAGUGACCAACAACAGAUUGAGAGUAGCCUAAUGAAAUGAGAGCUGAAGAAAGCUUAGAAUGCCAUUGUCGACUGACCUGUUUCAGUCCAUACAAUGAUUUUUUUAAGUGUACAAACCUUGUUGGAUUCAAGAUUACCAUAGCCAAGAGGAAGAGACAUAUAUACUUCUUUAUUUAGGUCUCCAUGAAGGAAGGAGUUUUUAACGUCCAGUUGCUCAAGGUGCCAGUGUUUGACAGCUGCAAGAGAUAAAAGAACACGAACAAUAGUAAUUUUGGCAAUUGGGAAAAAAGUAUCAAAGUAAACUACAUGUUCUAAUUGAGUGUAACCCUUGGCUACCAACCGGUCCUUGCAUAUAUCAAUAGAGCCAUUGGCAUGGUACUUGACUUUGUAUAUCCAUUUACAACCAACUGGAGUUUUGCCUAGAGGAAGGUCCACAAUGGUCCAAGUUUGAUUGUCCUUAAGAGAUGCAAUUUCAGUAUCCAUGGCCUACUUCCAACAGUCAUGUUUAGAGGUAUGAAGAUAGGUUUUUGGUUUAAAUAUGGAUGAAAUAGAGCAACAAAAGGAUUUGUAAGUUGGAGAGCAUUUUUUAUAUGAUAUAAAGUUGGAGAUAUGGAAGGUAGUGGAAGAGGAGUUAUUUAUAGAGGCAUAUCUAUUUGAUGAAAGAAAGAGAUUACAAUAAUAGUCUUUGAGAAAACUAUGAGGGUGUUUGGUUCUCAUUGAUUUUUGAGUUAGUAGUGUGGAUUGGUUUUGGGGAAUGUCUGAGGGAGGGUUAGAAUUAUGUGGAUACAUGUUAUCAACUAAGGUAUCAUGAAGGAUGUUGGGUUCAAAGUCAAUAACACUAGGAUCUUGGGUACUUGGUGAUGGAUUAAAAGUAGUUUGAUAUGGACUUGAGGUACUAGAGUCAAUCAAAGUAGGUUGAUUGAGACUUGGAAGGUUAGGGAUAAGUCCUGUUUCAGAAGUAAUAGGAUAAUCAUAAGAAUUUGUGACUGGUGUGACAACAGUAGAAGGAGUGGACAUAUGAGGCUCAGGGGUCAGAGUGAGGGCCUGAGGUGUAACAUAGUCAAUGUCAUAGGUGAUGUCCAUCAAGCUAUGAAUAUAAGUAGGGAGAUUUGUGGCAUUACUUUUGAAUGGAAAGGUGGUUUCAUAAAAGAAAACAUUUAGAGAUAUGAAUAAGUUAUGAGACUGAAGGUCAUAGAGAAUAUAACCUUUAGUACCAUCUUUGAAACCAAGGAGAAUGGCUUUUCUAGCCCUACCAUUGAAUUUUGUUAUGUGGGUCUGUAAAGUUGUUGAAAAACAUAAACAAACAAAGACUUUCAAAUGAACAAUAAUAUAUUAAGUUUUGAAAAAGCAACUCGUAUGGAGAUUUUGACUGAAGUUGAGGACUAGGGAUCCUAUUAGUCUUGUGGACAACAUGUUGAAUACUGAAGUUCCAUAGGUUUAAAGGAAUAUGUGUUAAUGUUUUCUCUCAACCACCCCAUUUUGCUGUUUUUGUUAUAGUGGUGGUGGUGGUGUGUGUGUGGCGGGGGGGGGGGUGUUCUACACAAGAUUUAUGGCGACUUAUGCCUUUGGAAGGGAAAAAGGAACUAAGAGUUAGGAACUUUGAACCCUUAUAUGACCUAAAGCAUUUAAGAGUGGUUUUGAAUUUAUUUCCUAUUGAGGCAAUAAAAUGUAUUACACUUUGUUUUGUUUCAGAUUUUUCCUUAAUAAAAUGACCCAUGUAAACCUUGAAAAUCCAUCAAUAAGAGUUAAGAAAUAUUUAUAGCCUAAAAUAGAAUCAGUAGAAAAGGGCCCCCAUAAAUCAACAUGUAAAAGUUCAAAUGGAGCAUGAGUAUGAGUAAGACUAUUUAGAAAGGGGAAUUUCUUUUGUUUUGCAAAAUGAAACGAAUCACAAGGGUUCAUGUUAUUUUUACAAGGGAUGGGGGGAAAAUGUUUAGCCAUAGUUUUCAUACUGAAAUUAGAAAGGUGGCCUAGUCUUAGAUGCCAAAGUUCAAAGGAAUUAGAAAUAACAUAAUUACUAGUGGAAUAAACAUCACUAAUAUCUAUCACAUAGAGGCCUCUGUGCCAUUUAGUUGUACCAAGCAUUUGCUUUGGAUGGUUCUGCAAAAUAUGACACAAGUUUGAAGAAAAUUUCAGAUAGCAAUCAAUAUUGCUAGUCAAUUUUGUGACUAAGAUUAAAUUAACAUGAAAGUUAGGAAUAUAGUGAAAAUUGUAAAGAGUUAAGGAAAGGGAAAUGACAAUGUUUCUAGAUAUGCAGGCAGUCAUGUGAGAUUCAUUUGGUAAGGAGAUUAAGCUAUUGAUUAACUUAACUCACAAAGAAAGAGUCGCCACAACGCUUUUAUUAUUUCCAAAGAAAAUAGAAAAAGAACGAACCAAACCCAAAGAAGUUUAAAAAAAACUAAUAAAAACAAAGAUAAGGGUCCAGGGGUUGGUUAUGUACAGGGAAGAUACUAGCACCCUAAGCAUCUAUAGUACUCUACAGGAACAUCUUUGAAAAUAUGUGCAUUUAGAUUUAAAAUGGUGUUGUUUACAAAAGAUUAGGGAGAUGAAAAGAGAUUUUUUUUUUAUAAUUUUUGUGUUUGCCAAGACUUUCUGAACCUCGUGCCUACGUACCCAUAAAGUGCAAUGGCGAAUCAAAACCUCGUAGUUCGUGGUAAAAAUAACAAAGAUGUUUGCUUUGAUUCAUUUUUAAUGAAUUUUUUUUUGUCAUUUUAAGAAGAACAUUCAACUAGCCAUCCACAAGUAUGGGAACUUUGCAUCACCAUGAGAAGGACUCUAACUUGGAUAAAUAUCAACUAGCUCUCUUAUAUAGAAAAGAAUUAUUAUCAAUACUAUGGGGAUAGAAAAAUUAUAUAUCAACUAUGGAAAUGACUCGUGUCUAAACUUUGAGAAAAAAGUUUUAAAAAGGAAAAAAAAAAGUGCACAAAGGGCACAAAAAGGUUUGAAUGAGUUAUGCAUUUUUAGUUUUUUGAAAUUGGUUUGAAUAUGAUUAAGAUGUAUUAGAAUUUAUUAAUAAAAGAUUUUGAAAAGAAAUCACUUGAAAAAAGUCAAGGUUUAUUGAGGAAGUAGUUCAAGUUUGAAAACAAGAAUGUUUUGAAAAAAAGAGAGAAGAUUUUGAAAAUCAAAGAAGGGGAGGAGAGGAAGAGAUUAUCCUAGAACAUAAAGUAAAAGCUAUGGAGGAAAGAUCCAACCAAGAGAUAACAACAAGAAUUCACUCCUUUGGAUUAAGCCUUAAGCAAGUCAAAUAAGCAAAGAAUAUUCCAUGUAUCAGAUGAAACCAAAGUAGCCAAGCAAAAUCUUCAAAAGAAUCUCAAAGUCAAAGGUAGCAGAUGAAUCUCAAGGUCUCAAAUCAGAAACUCCCAAAAGAUAAACAAGUAUGCCACUAGUUCUCUUAGAUGGAAAAUAAUUAUCAUCAAUACUAUGGGUAUAGAAUAAUUACAUCUCAACUAUGGAAAUGACUCAUGUCUAAACUUUGAGAAAAAGUUUUAAAAGAAAAAGUGCACAAAGGGCACAAAAUAGUUUGAAUGAGUAAUGUAUUUUUUAAGUCUUUUGAAAUUGGUUUAAAUGUGCUUAAUAUUUAUUAGCAUUUAUUAAGAAAAUAUUUUGAAAAUCACUUGACAAAAGUCAAGGUUUAUUGAGAAAGUGAUUCAAGUUUGAAAACAAGAAGGUUCUUGAAAAAAAAAGAGAAGAUUUUGAAAAUUAAAGAAGGGGAGGAGCUAAGAAGAUUAUCCUAAAACAUAAAGUAAAAGUUAGGGUGAAAAAUCUAACUAAGAGAUAGCAAGCUUUAUGACAUGUGUUAAGUAAGAACACUCUCCUUUGGAUUAAGCUUCAAGCAAGUCAAACAAGCAAAGAAAAAUCCAUGUGUCAGAUGAAACCAAAGUAACCAAGGAAAUUAUUUAAAGUAAUCCCAAAGUCAAAGGUACCAGAUGAAUCCCAAGGUCUCAAACUAUAAACUCCCAAACAAGGGUCAAAAUUCUAGUUCUAACUCCGUAACUCCAUAAUAAUCCCAAUGAUAGUAACCUCAAGUCCAUGAAUUAAGAGAACCAAUUUUUAGGGGUUUUUUCCUUUAUUAAUGUAUUUAAAAGAAAAAGAAGUCUAAAUGGACAAAGAAAAAAAGGCAUAAACAUAAACAAAGGUCCAAGUGGACAAAUAGAAAAUAGCAUAAAUACAAACAAUAUGAUAUGCGAUGCUAAAAUAAAAUCAUAAAGUUAAUAACAAGAAAUAAAUGGCAAAAAAAUAAAGAGCAUAAGAUAAAUGGCAUUAAAGUAAAUUUAAUAUAAUAAUAUGUUAGUAAGUUGUGUUAGUAAUAAAAAAUUGAAAGAUAAUUUAUCAUUUUUGGGAGAAUACUCAACUAUUCGCCCACAAGUAUGAAAAUGUGGACCUCUACAUCACCAUGAGAAAGACUCCAACUUGGAUAAAAUCAAUAAGUAUGCCACUAGUUUUAUUAGGUGAAAAGGAAACAAUAUUUUUCACACAAUACCAUGGGGAGUAGGAGACUUACAAUCUCACUUAUGAAAAUGACUUACUUUCGGAUUCAGGAUAAAUUUAACGUUAUGUUAAGCAAUCGUAAUUGGACUCAUGUUGAAGUCACAACUAUCUGAGCCCGGUCAAUAAUAAUAUUUAUGUUAAUACAUGCUAGAGAAAUUAUAUGUAAAUCAUUCUCCUAAAGAUAUGCCACACAAAAAAAGGAUGGAUCAAGCACAAAUGUUAAGAGAGUUGUUCAUUACAUCAAUCAAUACUUCAUGAUACUUAGGACAAGCUUAUGCAUCAAUCUAAAGUACCUUAAAUAUUCUAUGAUCAAUUAGGAGGUAGAUUUGAAGUGAUGAAAGUUCAUCAAGUACCAAUUCAUACAUCAUAAACAAGAUGAACACAAACCAUCCAAUUGAUCAAGAGAAAAAAGGAAGCGAAAGAGAUUAAGAAGAAGAAGAAGACGAGAGAAACCAAACUCAAAUUGGAUCAAAGGAUUGAUCAAGUCAUCAUCAAAAUCAAUCAUCCAUCUUGGUAGAUUUGGGUUUUCACCCCAUCAACACCGAAGAUCCAUUGAAUUUGAUGAGAUUUAUGAUCAAAAUAGCCAAGAUCCAAGGUCAACAGAAGUCAACAAAGGUCAAACAAGCAUAAAAUGAAAGAAAAUAAAAUAAAAUGCAUCAAAAAUAUUUUUUAAAUGAAUUUUAAAAGGCAAAUAAAACAAAAAAUUCCAUAAAACCCUUUAAAAUACCAAAUAAAUGGCCAAGAAAAUUAUGGAAGGUUGAAGAUAAAAUAAGGAACAUAAAAUAAAUUUUUCAAAUAUUUUUAAUGCAUAAAAGUAUUUUUAAACUAAUUAAAAAAAGGGGAAAAAGAGGAAAUCCAAGAAAAUAAAAUAUGGAAAAAUAAAAAUCAGAUGAAGAAAAAAAAAAGAAAAUUUUAGAAAAUAUUUUGGGAUUUUUUGGAUAAAAAAUGAAUUUUCUAUAAAUUUUUAAAGAAAAUGCAAUUUAAAAUAAAAAAUAAAAAGAAAUAAAAAACAGAAAAAAAUAGAGGCAUUGGAUCUGACCUCAUUAAUUGACGUGGCAAAUCCAACAACUAUCAGGCUAGGGCGCAUGGUGGAAAAUAGUUAGAAUAAAACAUGGAAUCACAUUCAAAAUGGACCAAUCAAAACAUUUCAAAAUGCCAACGUGGAUAGCCAACUCAGAUGGCCUGAAACAAAUCCAUUCAUCUUCUUCGGUAAUCCCUCAUCGGAGUUUCAUCAUUUGACAAAGUAAGAACAUGAGACUACCACCAAUGUGAUCGUCUCCUCAUCACGAAUUCAACCUAAUGCUCAAAAUUAAUUUAUCUAAAUUGAGUAUGGAGAAUUUCAGAGAAGUUUUAGAAACAAGCAAGUCACAAAAAGUAAAAUUAAAUGAUGAACAUUAUCACUCAACACCAGAUAAGUUAGGGGAAAGCAUAAGAGGGUGAAGGACUACAUUGUGGUAACUCGUUUGAGUUCAAAUGAUGCUCAAAACUACCUUGUCCAAAUGUAGAUCGGAGGUUGAAGAAGCUUGAUCUGGUCAGGGCACUUCAGAAGGUCUUACAGAUUGAGAAUUAUUGCAAAAUCUUCAUAGGAGACUGAAAGUUUUAAUUGAAUCAAGAAAUUGAACUGAAACAAGCUAGAAAUCAAACACGAUAGCUCAAUUUUCUAGAAAUGUUUAAUAGUGGAGCAGGGGUUUUUUAGCUCUCCAAAGCUUGGGAAUAAGGCAAAUAUAUUGCUCUAUUUAUAGGGAAGUGAUUGGUGAUCUCAUACGUGCCAAAUGAUGCUUAAUUCGUGCAAAACAAAUUUGCUCAUGAUGUGAGAAAAGUGUGACUUGUAAAACCAUCAAAACUCAGCCAAAUUAUGCAUUAAAUGAUUCAUUUAACUUUUGAAGACUUGAUUAAUCAUGUUUAGGUCCAAAACGUGUGGUAAAUUGGCUUGUAAUUAAGGAUUAGUGAAGUUCAAAAUUCUGAACAUGGUGAUUUCUUCAGUUCCAAGUUACCAUGUUUAAUUCAAUGGGGCAUCUUGCCUAGGAGGCUUUUUGAUCUCAUUUUUCUUGCAAUUUUUGGACAUCAUAUCAAAGAUUACAAUGUGCCAAGAAAGGUUGCAUUUGGAUGCUUGAGCAGAAGUUUAUGGCAUGUUAAAGUUGGCACAAAAAUUUGGUUAUGCAACUUGGAAAAUUCUAAGUCCCAGAUGGCUAAAAAUGACCCAUAAUGUCUCAAAGAAUUCCAUGGUCUUCCAAGCAUAAUUUGACUUUGAUCCUUGAAGAAAACUUGUAGAGGGCAUCACAAAUGAUAUUAUUCAAAAAGAAUCAGCGUCAAAUGUUGGAAAUUGAAGAAGUUAUAAUCCUUGAAAGUUGAGAAAAAGUCACUUGAAAAUAGGUCAAAUUUCACUAGGUCCACAAAUGACCUAUAAUGUCUUCAAACUUUUGAUGAUCCUCCAUGCAUAAUUGGAUCUUGUAAUGUAAAGAGAAGUUAUAGAGGAUAUUUAGAAGAGUCAUAUGCAAAAAGAAACAUUCAAAAAUAUUGAGGAUUGAAGGAAUUGUGAACCUUGGAACUUUGACUUCAAAUGUUGAAUUUUUGGUCAAACCUCUUGGAAUAAACUUGUGUACUUGGACUUUUAUUGCAUUUCAAGGUACAUGGAUGAUCAUAUGAACUAAAAAUAAGGUGUCCUUAAAUUUAUUUUUAUUAAAUUUCUUAAAGUUUGAGGUAACAUAUUGAAGAAGGCAUGGAAAUAAACACAUGAACCUUUGCCUUUUCUUGAGACCGAUUAUCCACUUUUGUGUAACCGAUUACAAGCGCAAUAUUUUGAUUUUUCCUGCUAUUUUACUUGGUCAAUUCAGUUCCCAAUUGUGUUGUAUCUCUUGUAUAAGUGUUUAGAAUGCACACUCAUCUAAGGUUAAUGCAAUAAUAAUCUCUCACCCUUAAUUCUCCUCUUUCACACUCUACAUCCAAAGUAUCUCCACCAUUGUUCAUCAAACUUGUUGUGUCUUGUUCCAACAUUUGACAUCAAGAGUCUGGUUCAGAUCCACAAACACCUAGUGUGCAACAUGAAUUAUGUUUCCAAUGAAAGAAUCCCUGCAAACCUACAUAUCCUUGAUGCGAAGAAUUAUGAUAAAUGGUGCAAGAAAAUGAAGAUGUUGUUUGGCUACCAAAAUGUUCUUAAAGUAAUCAAGAAUGGUGUUAGCCCUCUUGUUCAAAAUGCAACAGAGGUGCAAAAAGAAACACAUAAGAAAGAGAAGAAGAAAUACUUCAAAGUGUUAUUCUUGAUCCAUCAAUGUGUUGAUGGCGACAAUUUUAAGAAAGUUGGUGAUUGCGAAUCGUCAAAGCAAGUGUGAGAGAUCUUAGAAAAGACAUGUGGAUGGGUUGACAAGGAAAAGGUGGCGAGGUUACAAACUUACAAACACCAGUUUGAAUUGAUUCAAAUGGAGGAAAAGGAGACAAUAAACUAUUUUGCAAUGAGAAUCACCCGGUUGGUGAAUCAAGUGAAGGCAUGCAAAGAAACUGUUACAAAGCAGUAUGUUGUCGCUAAAUCUUGCAUUCUUUAACACUAAGAUUUGACAAUAUAGUUGUGGCGAUUGAGGAGUCAAAGGAUCUCACGAUGAUGAGUAAAGAGAAGCUGCAAAGUUCUCUCGAGGCUCAUGAUAAAAGGAUGGAAGAGAGGAAUAACGUUAAGGCAAAGGCGGAGAUCGCUUUGCAAGCUCGUUUCAAUGAGAAGGACAAGAGAUCGAAAGGAAAAUGGCCCAAGAAAAGAAAAGGGAAUUUUCAUAAUUUUGGUGGAAGAGAGUCCUAAAAUUCAAAUAAUUUUACUUGUCAAAGGGGUGAGAGCAUCUUCAACAAACAUGGUGGUCAAGGCAACUUUAGAGGUAGAAGGAAGAGGUUUGACAAGAGCAAGGAGUAGUGCUAUAAGUAUCAAUGGUUUGGCCAGUUUGCAAAAGAAUGCAAUUUGAACAAGAAGGAAUCUCAAGGGGAUGAAGCCAAGGUUGCAAGAUAAGAGUUUGAUAAAGAGAAUACAUUUUUGGUCAUGAUCAAAGAAGGGAAUUGUAGCAGCAAACAACUGCGGGACAACAACUACAACAACUCAACGAAUGCUGAAUAGGUUGGUUGAAUGAUACGAUUAACCAAUUGCAUGAAGAGGAAGACGCCAUGAUGAGUUUGAAAGGAGUUCAAUGCAGUGAGGAGUGGUAUUUGGACUUGGUUUGUUCAACUCAUAUAACGGGAAUAAAGGAUUGGUGUGCCAAAAUCAAUUGUGCCAUGAAGAACAAAGUAAAGUUCGCGGAUGACACCACUCUAAUAUUCAAUGGGAUCAGUGAUGUUUUAAUCAUGAGAAGGGAUAAUGGACAUUCCUUGACCAUAAAUUCUUGUACAUUUAGGGAAUCAAAUGUAACCUUCUGAGUAUUGGCCAAUUUCUUGAGAAGGGUUAUAAGAUUCACAUGGAAGACAAGGGGUUGCGGGUUAUGGAUGUAAGAUGAGUCUUGGUCCUUAAAGCGCAUAUGGAUGCCAAUAAAACCUUUAAGGUUGAGUUGAAGGUUAUAGAGCAUAAAUAUCUUGCUACUGUAACAAGUAGACAAUAUUGGAUUUGGCACUAUCGUCUUAGGUAUCUCAACUUUAGAGAUUUCAAAGACUUUCAAAAGAACAGAAUGGUAACGGGGCUGCCAUCGAUCAACAUACUAGCUGAAAUUUAUGAAGAAUGUAUGCAAGCGAAGCAACAUAUGGGAAAAUUAAGAAAGUAGAUUCUAUUGGUGGCAAUAUGUAUUUUUUCACAUUUAUCGAUGAUCAUAGUACGAAGCUAUGGACAUACCUAAUCAAGAGAAAUGACGAUGUAUUUGAUGAUUGUUUGUCAUUGCAUAUAUUUAAUCGAAGAAUCAAAGAAAAAUAAGUGAAAUUUGAGAUAAAAUGAAGAAGAAUGAGGAAAAAAUAGCUAAGUGUGAAAAUUGUGGACUUAUUGAAAAUUUGAGUGAAAAGGGGAGCAAAACCGUGCAACCACGGGAAUAAUCACGCGCACCAUCACAUAGCAUCGUGCACGCGAUGGGGUCUUUAAAGCAGCAUUACACGCGCGAUACAAGGAAUCACGCGCGUGAUAAGUACUUUUUAUGGGCUUUUUAGACACGUUCUAGUCCAUUCUAACGCCUUUAAAAGAGGAUUUUCUGCACUUUCACAAGGGUUACAAAAUUGGGAGAUCUAGGCACGAUUUUGAGAGCACAAGUGGUGAUUUUUAUAGCAUUGGAAGCUAUUGGAGGCCAUUACUUCAACGUAUUUCACAUGUUAUUUUCAUCUAUCAAUUAUGGCAUUUUUAAUUGCAUUAUGAGUAGCUAAGCUCUUUUAUAUUAGGUUGUGUUAUGAUGAACCUAUUUCUAUAUUGUUGGAAUCUAUGUUGAUUUAACCAUUCUAAGAACCGUUUGAACUAUAAUUCCAUUCAAUUGCUUUUUGUUCAUAAUUCCUUUUAUGUGAGAUACUCUUUUAAUCUGAUUUUGGGCACAUAGGGAAUAUUGACUAUUAGUCUAUGUGUUGGACCUAGGGAAAUUGUUGUACUUACGCUGGUUGAAUAGGAAUAGGAGACCCUGAGUAGUGGCAUAGAGAAUUAAUGUUUUAUACAUCACCUAACCUUGCUUACGCUGGCAGACUAGGGAUAGAAAGCUCUGAGUAGUGGUUAGUGAGUUAUUUCGCGAGGGAUCAGCUAUAACGGUUUUGUUAAUUCGAUGUGGUGUUAUAGUGAUAAGACCAUUCGUAAAAGAUAUAAAACAUCAACAAUAGAGGAAUAGGGGAUUCUAGAACACAAUAUGCUCGUUUUCGUGAUAUUGUUUAAUUGUUUAUUUACUUUUCGCACUGAAACUCGAAAACCCCCCUUUUUACUAGUUUUCUAUAAAUUGCACACAUUUUGUCUUGCCUGAAGGAAAUUCAUGUGGAUUCGAUCUUUUUAUUACUUCGACAAUAUCAAUACACUUAUCGAGAAAUCAUUAAGUUUUUGGCGUCGUUGCCAGGGACUGUUGAUUUUUCAACAAGGCGAUGUUUGUGCAAUUUUUAUUUUUAUUUUUUUAGUCUUUUAGUUUUUUUUUUCUUUUUCUUGUUUAUCAUAGUGCUAUUGAGGUAUUUUUUGUUUGUGUAUGCACAAUUUAGGAUCAACAUUAAUACCAUUGGUUCUAGAAAUUGAAAGAACUACACGUGCUCUCAGAAAAGCAGUUAGAGAAGCAGCUCUGAAAGGAGGAAUACUAGAAGAAGAGCAACUAUCAAAUUCUUCUGACUCUGAAGAAGAAGCUGUAAUGGAAGCUGCACAACCCCUAACUAUGGGGCAUUAUUAUAAAUUAACCGAUGAAGGACACUUAUCAAGAGGGUUUGUGCUGGUAGACCCUGCUAACUUUGAUAUUAAAAAUUAUGUGCUUUAAGGUUUGAGAGAAAAUUCGUUUGAUGGGAACACGAUUAGAGACCCAUGGGUGCAUCUUACACACUUUUAUGAAAUAACUUAAAUGUGCAAACCAACUGAUGCCACUGAAGAGCAGGUUAAAUUGAGGUUGUUUGGGUUCUCACUAAUUGGAAGGGAGAAAGAUUGGUUACUUUGCCUUCCGAAUAAAACGAUACAUACUUGGAAGGAAUUAAAGGAUAAAUUCCUCGAAAUAUUUUUCAUUACUACUCAGUUUACCGAGCGCUAAGCAGAAAUUGUGAAUUUUGUGCAGCAGGAAACUGAGUCACUUUAUGACUCUUGAGAAAGAUUCAAAUUUUUGUUACGCAGAUGCCUGAAUCACAACAUGAAUAAUAUGGUGCAGAUGUAAAACUUCAUUAAAGGUCUCAAGAGUCAAACUCACAUGUUAUUGGAUGCUUCUACGAGAGGUACUAUCUGAAAAAUGAAUGAACCACGGGUAAAAGAUCUCAUUAAGAAGAUGUGUAUGAAGGAGUACCGAUCCAAGAAUGAAAGGUCGGUCAAGAUGGGAAUUGUGGGCACGCCUAAAGGUAUGUUACCUAUUGAUACCCACACUGCUCUUUUAGCUCAGAUUGAAUUAUUAAAUAAAAAUCUAGUUGGAAGCAGCUUAGUUAAAGCUAAUGUAGGCUAGGUACAAGCACUUGGGUGCGAUUUAUGUAGAAGAGAACAUGCGAAUGAAAGGUGUUCAUUGGAAGAGACAAGUGAGGAGGUCCAAUUUGCUAAUUUUUUAAAAAAUAACUUGUAUUCAAACACAUACAAUCUGGGUUGAAAAGACCAUCCAAAAUUCCGUUGGAAUAAUAAUCAAAAUUCAAAUGCUAACUAAGGGAUGCAACAAAGUCAACAAGCUCUGUUUCAAAGGAAUCCCAUCACAGUUGGUAGAGACCUCACAAAAUUUCAUUAAGGUCACUCAAAGUAGAUUUGAUAGGGUAAAGAAGACCCAUGAAUAAAUGAGUAGAAACUAGGAUGCGUCUAUCAAAAUUUUGGAGAUGAAGAUUGGUUAAUUAUCUAGAAAAGUAGCUACUUUGUCAAGCUCAAGUGGAGGAUUCACCAGUAACACCGUUGAUAACCAUAAGAAUGAUAACCCUAAAUAUAGGUUUAAGGGCAAUUACUGAAAAGGAUAAGGAUGAGAUAGUUAAACAAUGUGUGGUUAAGGCAUAUGAGGGUACCUGUAGCACCUCAAAUUUGCACCCCCCAUUCAUGCAUUCAUUUCAUUUUUUAGGUCAUUUAUCAUUCCAUAUUGCAUUGCAUUUUGGCAGUCAGCAUUGGCAUCAAGAGAUUCAUCAGUACAAAAGAGAAAGUUUUUUCUUGAGAUGAAGGCCAAAUGAUUAUACUAAAGAGCUUAUAUGAGCCCAGGUUCAUUUUGAAGCAAAGUUACCAAGUGGUAGAGGCCCAAACUCAUCAGUGCACUUCCAGGUCAUCUGAGGCCCAUACAAGUCAACUAUGCAGUCAACUAAGGGCUUUGAGUUGGGGAAAUGGUUUGAGACACUUCAUUCAUGUCCAAAAGAGGCUUUUUCAUCAUGUCAAACAUCUACCUUGAAGAUUUUGAAGUCAAAUCAAAAGUUUCCAAAAAUGGAAAGUGACCUGUAAUUCAAAGUUUCCAAAAAUGGCAAGUUUUUAGACCACAUUCAACUUGACUUUCCAACAUCAAAUAAGCUUCAAAUGAAUUUUUGGUCAACAUGAAAGUUGAAGAUAUUUCUCUCCUAUUUCCAAAAAGUCCAAGAGUAUGAGUAUCUGAUGAAUGGUUGAGAAGUUAUGAACAAAUGAUUGCAAAGUAUGCAUGGAACUUCAAAGUGCCAUAACUUUUGAUCCAAAACUCCAAAUUGAGCCACUCUUUUUGCAAAAUGCUUGUAUUGACCAAUAUUUUCCAAAUCAAACAUUGCAUUGCAUGAAAUUAACUCACAUGAUCAUUUGUCCAUGCAUGUAUAUUUUGGAGGGAAAAUGGAUAAUUCAAAUUCUAUUGAUCAUACAUGAAAAAUUCCUAUGCCAUUGUGAUCUUUGGAUGAUUUUAAGUGACUUUUAACCAUGCAUGUGCACUGUUCACGUGUAAAAUCUCCAUGCACCACACAUUUACCAUUUUUGCAUUACACCUCAUUUCUCAUUAAGUUUCCAUUAGCCAAGCCUAAUUGUGAUUAGCAUGAUAAUUAACAUGUGAUAUAAAUAGAUAAUCCUAACUGAAUUGGAUGAGAUUACACAUUCUAGAUCUAGAAAUUGGAUUUCCCUCCAAAAAUUCUCUCAAUUCAAACAUCAAAUUUCUACACAUAACUCAUGAAUUUUCUUGCAUAAUUGUGUUCAUCUUGCAUCAUUGAGUAAGAAUCAAGGCCUGGACUGAAGGAUUUGGUGCAGAGUCGAGCUCCACGAAUGCAUGAAAAUGAAGAAGGUUUUCUGAAUUUGAGCUUCAUUUAGGUAGUUUCAAUUGCUAUUCCUUCCAUAAAGCUUCACCUCAAGGUUGAUAGAGGAGACCUGGAGCUGGAGGAGGCUUGAAUCCACGAAAUCAUCGCACUGUUCUUCAAGAAGGUUAAAAUUUGAAUCUCAUUAUUUGCCAUUUUAUGCACAUGAUCUUGUAGGUCGUGCUCCACUGAUGAUUCUGAUAUGAAUAUUAUUGAUUUUGGCUGGAUAUUGAGUGAGUUAUGAUGAAUUAAAGUUUGUAUGCUAAAUUUGUUCUUGCUCGAUCCAUGAGAUAUGUGAUGAUUUAGAGUGAAUUAGGCAUGGAUUUGGAAUGUACGUUAUGCAAGCUUUCGAUCCAUAUCAUUUUUGCAUGAUUCUAGAAUUUUUUUGAUGCACCUUCAUCGGCGUACCACCGGAGAAGAUGACCGAAAGUACUAUUCCGGUCAUCUGGUUCAUGAGCUAGGGUUUUAAUGUGCGCACCUGUAACCAUGCAAGCCCCAGUUCGAUCCUUGGCAACUGUUAUUUUAAAAUCCAUUUAUUUUCUCCCUAUGAUCCAAACGUUGCGUUUUGCUCUAGCGCCCUUGUGAACAAGCCUUGCCUCUGUUCGAUUCUUGGCCUGGCAAUUAUCCCAAUUGAUUUUAUUGAGCGCGCCUAUGACCCUAUAGUCCUCAGUUCGAUUCAGGCGCUUUGCAUUUUUUCUUUUAUUUUCAAUUGAAGCGCUGCCUUGGACCUUUGUGUCCUGAGUUCAAUCCCUGACCAAGUAUUUUUCAUCUUUUAAUUCACAUUUCAUUUUUUCACAUGAUUGUUGUGAUGUCUAUUAUUUUUUGAUGUGAUUUUCCUAAUUUUUGUAUUUCUGGAAUUUUAAAUGUGUUUGUGUGAUUGAACAUGAUGCAAAUAUGACAUGUUAUGCUAAAUGUUUUAUGAAAUGCUCAUAUUUUAUCCAAUUGCCUUGAAAUUUGACAUGCUUGAUCUAUACAUGUGACAUGAUUUUUGAGCUUUUGUUUGGCAUUUUUAGCACAUUCCAUCACUGUUUGGGACACAUGAACAUAUGAUGUAGCAUUUGGUGUCACAUUCUUGACCUUGCUUGUGUUCAUUUUCAUUUGCAUGUCAUUUGAUAUCUUCUGGACCUAAUUCUUUGCAUGAUGCUUGUGUUUAAAAUUUUGAUCUCACAUAAAAAAUUUCAUGAUCAUUGGAUGCAUUUCUGUUUUAAUGUGGAUUUUCUACCUUUUUCUUGCCUUGUGUAGAUGAUGAAUAAGCACCACUGUUGAUUGACUGUUUGGUUUGUCUGAAUGUGAUAUUGACUGUUUGACUUUUGUACAGGUACAUUAGUCGCUUUUAGCUCUCGCUUGAGCUUUGCUUUGGUUGUGGUUGAUAUACCACCUAGGUAAUCACUCUAACUCCAUGUAGUCUGGAAGCCCUGUCGUUUCUUUUGGCAUGCAUUUGGUUGAAGUCCUCCUUAAGAGGCAAUGACUGUGUUUAUUUAUAUUUAUGCCAAAGACCUCCUUGUCGAGGCAUGUUACUUGUUAAGUCCUCCUAAGUGAAGAGGCAAUUGACAGAUGGAAAGGAUUAGCAAUCAAUCCCCUGUUAUUCGUUGAAUCGUUCAUUAUGCUCGCACUAUAUGCUGAUGCUCUUGAACCUAACCCAAGAUCCUUGUAUAUAGAGUCAGUCAAGUGGAAUAGGGUCCCUCUUUCUGGAUCCCCAGGUUUUCAUUGAUUUGAGCUCACCCAGGCCAGGGUUAAGAGCAUGAGGUCUUAUCCUCAUUACCUUUCAUCAGCUUCACCCUAACUCUCAAUGUUAGUGGUUAAGAGCUUCAGCACACCCCUACAGUUUUGGCUUGUUUGUCGAGGUUGAUAUGACCCCUUGACUAAAGCCUUACCCUCAGAUGUUUGAGCCCCUUGUUGGCGUGUUUACUUCAUGUAUAUGUUUUUGUGUGGUGUGAUUGUAUCCCCAUAGGAUUGCUAGACUUCGUAUAGUCUCUCGUUUGCAUGUCAAUUAAGGUAGCAUGGUUCCUUCGUCUAGGACUUCCUUUCUUGCGUGAGCAUUCCUAAAACACAAACAAACUUUAUCUUCUCUUAAGGACACGUUGACUCCUUCUACUACAGGUGAGUAAGUCUCCAAAGGUCGAGCAUCCAUCUAGGACUUCCUUUCUUGCGUGAGCAUUCCUAAAACACAAACAAACUUUAUCUUCUCUUAAGGACACGUUGACUCCUUCUACUACAGGUGAGUAAGUCUCCAAAGGUCGAGCAUCCGGUAGAUUGCAUAGUAACGUUGUUCACCUAAAAAACACAACAAACAGAAAUAGUUUAGCCGAACUACGACAACUCUGAUUCUCAUGUUCAGAUGAGAUACGUAGGCAUGAGAUGCGAUGUCUUGUCGAGUUUGACUGACGACUAACAUUAAUCCUUGCUAGUUUUCAUCCUCGUUGCGAUUCUUUUCUCUCGCCCUCGUUGCGAUUGAGACCUUCCUUUUCUCUUGCCCUAGUUGCAAUCGAGACCCUUCUUCUUUUCGUGUGUGUUUGUUAGGAGUCGGAUAUAAGUCCAUCUAUUGGCAUUCUGUUUCCUGUUUGCGUGUGUGUUUGUUAGGAGUUGGAUGUAAGUCCAUUUAUUGGCAUUCUGUUUCCUUGUGUGUUUGUUCGGAGUCGGAUGUAAGUCCAUCUAUUGGCACUCUGUUUCCUGUUUGUAUUUCCUUGUUAGGAGUUGGAUGUAAGUCCAUUUAUUGGCAUUCCGUUUCCUUUGAGUGUUCUUUUGACGUCUCAGCGUCUCUUUUCAGUGUUUUGUUUCGGCGUGCGUUAGCCGAGCUACGAGUGCUCUGAUUCUUCCUCUGGUUAGAGAAGAUACGUAUGCAUAGGAUGCGAUGUCCUAGCGAGCACGUCUCCCAUUUCCCCGAACUACGUCGACUCUGAUGUUUGUUUCUGACAAACUACGUAGGCCCAGGAUGCGACAUCCUGCCGAGUCUGCUUUCUCCGUCUCCUCUUCCGCCUGUUUAUUAUUCCAUUGCGUGCAGUCUUUGAGCAGUUUUAUUAGCAACCUUAUUCUUUCCUUCUGAGCGUGGAUCCCAUCGAGUACGACGGACGUGAGGGGUGCUAAUACCUUCCCCUUGCGUAACCGACUCCCGUACCUAGCAAUCUUUGUUCGUAAGACCAUUCCUUUCCCUUUUUCAGGUUUACUUCGAGGGUUUCCUUUCCCUCCUUUGGGAUAAAUAACGCACGGUGGCGGCUCUGUGUCUUUUCCCGCCGGUUGUUUUUCGCGAUGCGACAGUACCAAUCAAGGUGACCAAGAGGAAAGAGGAGUCACCAUUGAUCAACUUAUAGACAAAAAUUCUCCUUGGAGGAGAACAAAGAGGCAUAUCUUGACUGAACCAAAUCCUCCUUUACCAGAUUACGUAAAACCACCGUAGCCGAUAAUUAAAAAGAAAUUGGUUCAAGAUGAUGAAGCGGGAAUGUUUGCAAAGUUCAAGGAAGUUCUAGCUACUCUCCAGGAAAGUAUUUCAUUCCAUGAAAUUUUAGAACUAAUGCCUAAGUUUGUUAAAUUUAUGAAGGCGUUUCUAAAUGGGACGGAAGAGAAAUGAAUCAAGGAACAUGUAAACAUGACCGAAAAUGAUGAUAUGGUAAAACCUCAAUCCUUACAACCUAAACUAAAAGACUCAGGUAAGUUUAUUAUUUCUUGUAAUAUCAGUGGAUUCAAUAUUCUGCAUGCUCUAUGUGAUCUGGGGUUUAACAUAAAUGUCAUGCCACUGAAAACUGUCAAAGAAUUAAAAAUGGGUGAGAUCACACUGAAUAACAUGACUCUCACUCUAGUUGAAUCGUCUAUUACUCAAUCGAUUGUUACUUUACGCAACAUAUUAGUAUCUGUGGACGACUUAUUGUUUCCUAUAGAUGUUGUAGUGCAUGAUACAAAAGGAGAUUAAGGAGGAUCUGUUAUUCUUGGACGUCCAUUCUUGGCAACCGAGAAAGCAAAGAUUGAUGUGGACACUGGUCAACUUAUCUUGAAGUCAAAUAAAAGGAAUGUGGUUUUCAAGGUAUUUGACUGGGCAUCUUAUGUGGAUAAUUUGGAUACUUUAUACCAUCCGGAGGAAAAAGGUAGAAAAGUAGACAAAGGAACAAUGAGAAAGGAAGUGACAGGCGUGAGGGUAUCCCUUGCACCUGACGUACCUUAGACAUGGAUUGUCAAGCUAGUUACGUAAAAAAAGCGUCUGAUGGGAGGCAACCCAUCCGUAAGAAAUUAUUUUUAUGUCAUAGUGAAUUUUUAUUUUUCUAACCUUGUUAAUUUUUGUGUUAUGUUGUUCGAAGAGAAAAUAGGUAAAAGAAGAAAAGAAAGAAAAAGAAAAAGGGAAGAAAAUAGAAAAAGAAAAGAGAUAGGAAAGUUUCAGCCCCUGGAAUCAUCACGCAUGAUAAUAUAAACUAGUUAUUUACAAUAAAUUUUUUUGAUAUUUAUUUAAAGAAGCACAAUUAAUAUAAAGACAAUAACACACCAAUCACACAUAAUAAUUUUAGAAUAAUUAUACUCUAAGAUUUUGAGAGUCGUGAUAUCUCCUCUUCUUAAAUGUUUAAGAAUUGGAUCUCUCUCACUAAUCUCUAUCCCCUUAUUUAUUUUAAGAAUAAACAUAUUGAAUUAAUAAAACAUAAUUGCACAUUUCUUAUAGCGAUUAUACAAACAACUAUCAAAGUUGAAAAAACUAAAGAGAGGUCAACUCAAUCUUUAUCAAAUUAAAUUAAAGUUUAUUUUAAAACACAAACAACUAGUUCAUUAAAAAGAUAACUUGUUUAGUACACAAAUGAGAUCUUACUUAAUACAUAGAAAUAAGAUCUUACAAAACAUAGAUAUUAAAAACAUAGGAACAACAUGAAAAGUUUUCAAAAUGACAUAGACAUUGAUUAACAAAGACAUGAAUUAGUUUCGGGUAUUUUUUAACCAUCCAUCAAGGUAAACUUGUUUGGAGUCAGGGGUGAAUUUUUCUUUCUCGGCUCGGAUAUCUUUCAACCAUCCAUCAAGGUAAACCUGAUUGUUGUCUGAGGUGGAUUUUGUUGUCUCGGCUCGGAUAUCUUUCAACCAUCCAUCAAGGUAAACUUGGUUGGAGUCAGAGGGCAAUUUUAUUUUUUCAGCUCGAGUGUCUUUCAACCAACCAUCAAGAUAAACUUGUUUGGAAUCAGAGGUGGAUUUUGUUUUCUCUGCUCGGGUAUCUUUCAACCAUCCAUCAAGGUAUACUUGGUUGGAGUCAGGGGUGGAUUUUGUUCUCUCAUUUCGAGUAUCUUUCAACCAUCCAUCAAGGUAAACUUGGUUGGAGUCAGACAUGGUUUCUGUUUGCUUAGCUCGAGUAUUUUUUAACCAUCCAUCAAGGUAAACUUGGUUGGAGUCAGGGGUAGAUUUUUCUUUCUCAGCUCGGGUAUCUUUUAACCAUCCAUCAAGGUAAACUUGUUUGGAGUCAGAGGUGGGUUUUGUUUUCUCUGCUCGGGUAUCUUUCAACCAUCCAUCAAGGUAAACUUGAUUGGAGUUAGGCAUGGACUUUUCUUUCUCGGCUCUGGUAUCUUUCAACCAUCCAUCAAGGUAAACUUGGUUGGAUUCAGAGGUGGAUUUUGCUUUCUUUGCUCUGGUAUCUUUCAACCAUCCAUCAAGGUAAACUUGGUUGGAGUUAGGUAUUGACUUUUCUUUCUCAGCUCUGAUAUCUUUCAACCAUCCAUCAAGAUAAACUUGGUUGGUGUCACCUGUAGAUUUUGCUUUCUCAUCUCGAGUAUCUUUCAACCAUCCAUCAAGAUAAACUUGGUUGGAUUCAGAGGUGUCUUUUGCUUUCUUUGCUCUGGUAUCUUUCAACCAUCCAUCAAGAUAAACUUGAUCAGAGUCUUGGGAGGAUUUGGUUUUCUCUGCUCGUGUAUCUUUCAACCAUCCAUCAAGAUAAACUUGGUUAGAAUUAGCAAUUUGUUUUUGACUCUUCAAUGGAUUUUUGAGCCAACCAUCAAGGUAAGGUUGAUCAGCUUGUAUUUCUUCUACAUUCUCUUGCUGAAGUUUGAUAUAUCGGGCAAAGCUUCCUUGUCCAUUCUACGAUACAAUUGAAUAAAUGGAUAUUAGUGAGUUAUUUUUGGAUGGUAUAUAUGACUAUAAAAACAAAAUUAUGUGUUUUAUG
rnacentral:lncRNA from 1 species